rnacentral:tRNA from 1 species
UCCCUGGUUGUUCAGUGGCUAGGACUUAACACUUUUACUGCUGCAGCCCAGGUUCAAUCCCUGGUAGGGGAC